GUUGGCCAAGUGGUUAAGGCGUGCGCCUAAUGUUUUCUCGCAGUGAGAGUUCGAAUCUCUCAAGAUACA
rnacentral:sRNA from 1 species